rnacentral:rRNA from 1 species
AUUGAACGCUAGCGGGAUGCUUUACACAUGCAAGUCGAACGAGUGCCGGACGGGUGAGCAAUAUAUCGGAACGUGCCCAGUAGCGGGGGAUAACUACUCGAACGAGUGGCUAAUACCGCAUACCAUUGGAACGGCAGAGUACGGAUUAGCUAGUUGGGGGGGAAAAGGCUCACCCAGGCAAAGAACCGUAGCUGGUUUGAGUGGAAGACCAGCCACACUGGGAGUGAGACAAGGCCCCGCUUCCGACGGGCGGCAGCAGUGGGUAAUUUUGGACAAUGGGGGAAACCCUGAUCCAGCCAUCCCGCGUGUAUGAGAAGGCCUUCGGGUUGUAAAGUACUGUUGGCAGAGAAUCGGUAUCUGCAGAAUAAGCACCGGCUAACUACGUGCCAGCAGCCGCGGUAAUAC